UGGCAACCCGCUCGGGUGUCCUUCCACACUGUGGGGGCUCUGUUGUUUCGCUCUUUGCAAUAAAUUUUUCUACUGCUUACUCUUCGGGUCCACACUGCUUUUAUGAGCUGUAACACUCACCCUGAAGGUCUGCAACUUGACUCCUGAAGCCAGCAAGACCACGAGCCCCAGGGAGGAACGAACAACUCCAGACUCGCUGCCUUAAGAGCUGUAACACUCACCGAGAAGGUCUGCAGCUUCACUCCUGAGCCAGCGAGACCACGAACCCACCAGAAGGAAGAAACUCUGAACACAUCCGAACAUCAGAAGGAACAAACUCCAGAUGUGCCACCUUAAGAGCUGUAACACUCACCGCGAGGGUCCGCGGCUUCAUUCUUGAAGUCAGUGAGACCAAGCACCAACCAAUUCGGGACACAAUACCAACUCUUUCAUGCCAUGAGAAGCCUCCUUAAAAAAUUUCUGUGAUGAACAGCAGCACAUGGGUCAAAAUCUCCUGAAAGUUGAGCAGGGGAGCUGUAGAAGAAUUCCUCCUUUUCUUGCAGAUGAAAUCUUAUGAUAUAGCAGGGGUUACCUGGCCAAGAAGGAACACAGAGGAAAACAAAGAAAAUUCAAGGAACUAAAUUCCCUCUCCACCUCAACCACCAGCAUUGAUACUCCAUCACUUAUGUACUGCAUCAAGCUGUCCUCAGAGGUGAGGAAGGUGCUGUCAAGACUAGAAGCAUGUGUCCCUC
rnacentral:lncRNA from 1 species